GUGAAUCAUCGAAUCUUUGAACGCAAAUUGCACUCUCUGGUAUUCCGGAGAGUAUGCCUGUUUGAGGGUCAGUUUAAAUAACAAUCGGUGUGGUUGCUGCCUUUCGUGGUGACGCCUCGGUUUGGGGUCGUCCUGCCUUCGGUUAAGUGACCUACAAUUUUGCAUGAUUUUUUCGAACGAAUUUAAAUGAUUUUACGUACGUUUGCGAUAGCGAU
rnacentral:misc_RNA from 1 species